UACAGAGGUCGCAAGCGUUGUUCGGAUUUAUUGGGCGUAAAGGGUGCGUAGGCGGCGGAGUACGUUGGGUGUGAAAUCCCGGGGCUCAACCUCGGAAUUGCAUUCAAUACUGCUUCGCUCGAGUACUGGAGAGGAGACUGGAAUUUACGGUGUAGCAGUGAAAUGCGUAGAUAUCGUAAGGAAGGCCGGUGGCGAAAGCGAGUCUCUGGACAGUUACUGACGCUGAUGAACGAAGGCCAGGGGAGCAAACGGG
rnacentral:rRNA from 1 species